GACGAACGCUGGCGGCGUGCCUAAUACAUGCAAGUCGAGCGGACCGACGGGAGCUUGCUCCCUUAGGUCAGCGGCGGACGGGUGAGUAACACGUGGGUAACCUGCCUGUAAGACUGGGAUAACUCCGGGAAACCGGGGCUAAUACCGGAUGCUUGAUUGAGCCGCAUGGUUCAAUUAUAAAAGGUGGCUUUCAGCUACCACUUACAGAUGGACCCGCGGCGCAUUAGCUAGUUGGUGAGGUAACGGCUCACCAAGGCGACGAUGCGUAGCCGACCUGAGAGGGUGAUCGGCCGCACUGGGACUGAGACACGGCCCAGACUCCUACGGGAGGCAGCAGUAGGGAAUCUUCCGCAAUGGACGAAAGUCUGACGGAGCAACGCCGCGUGAGUGAUGAAGGUUUUCGGAUCGUAAAACUCUGUUGUUAGGGAAGAACAAGUACCGUUCGAAUAGGGCGGCACCUUGACGGUACCUAACCAGAAAGCCACGGCUAACUACGUGCCAGCAGCCGCGGUAAUACGUAGGUGGCAAGCGUUGUCCGGAAUUAUUGGGCGUAAAGCGCGCGCAGGCGGUUUCUUAAGUCUGAUGUGAAAGCCCCCGGCUCAACCGGGGAGGGUCAUUGGAAACUGGGGAACUUGAGUGCAGAAGAGGAGAGUGGAAUUCCACGUGUAGCGGUGAAAUGCGUAGAGAUGUGGAGGAACACCAGUGGCGAAGGCGACUCUCUGGUCUGUAACUGACGCUGAGGCGCGAAG
rnacentral:rRNA from 1 species